rnacentral:lncRNA from 1 species
CCAAAGAGGGGGAGGGCACCAAGCCCCAGGAGCAUGCCCCAAACAGAAGGCGGACAGCAGGGUUAAGCUUUAAGAGAUUUUAAGAGAGAAAACUGUAACUGGUGAGAGGUCCCAUAAGAGGGCUGCUUGGUUUACCAACACGGAGGUCAUCAGUAAGCUUGUGACUUUGUCAGUGGCCCUAAAUGGGUAGAUGGAUCCGGACAUGCUGGGGGUGGGGGCUGGGAGUCAGGAAACAGAGUCAGCAGUGGUCUCGUUUGGAAUUUGGACUUAAAGAGGAAACAGGACUGUCAUUGCACGUACAGGGAAGGAAACUGCACUGAAGCUUUGCCUGAACCUGCGGAUUUCUAAAUUAAGAUGACUCUUUUCAGGCCCUCCUCCACUCAACAAGCCCAGGGUCCUGCUGUGUACACGCUCUGCCUGCGGAGGAGAAACCCUGAGUGUGACCAAGGCCCCAGCCGACAAGCAGCUUGCAGAACAGAGAGCGCUGCCUUCCACCCCGGAGUCCACGGGGGUCUUGCUAGGACAUUCUUCUUCUGUGGAAGUUGUAAAUUUUACUUUGGGCUCUCCUCAUUUUGAGGUAAUAAAAUCCUGAGCCUGGAAGGGAACGGGGAGAUCAUCCUUCACCUCACGGAUGUAAAAAGUUGAAUCCUGGAGAGACGCAGGACACACAUCCAGUAAGGGGAAGAUUCAGGGGCAAAGCUCUUAUCUUCUGCUUCCCGGUUCGGGGAAUUUUCCACUACCUCGCGCCAGAUUGCAUACAUGAGAGUCGAUUCUGCGUCUCUAAGUUCAUAUAGCUUAACCAUUCCUUUAAAUGGCUGUGUUAAUGACUUCCAUGAGUCAGUGCUUAUUUUCCAUAUUCUGCCAAUUAAUUGUGGUUUGGGGGGUGAUCUGUUCCAAAUCCCUGGAUUAUAAAGUGUGGCGUCAGCUAUUUUUUGAAGGUAAUUCAUUCCAAAGCUUGGACCAAUUAUAGCUAAUAUAGUUGAAUUUGUCUUUAAACAUCCUCGAAUCAAA